rnacentral:rRNA from 1 species
UACGUAGGUGGCAAGCGUUGUCCGGAUUUACUGGGCGUAAAGAGCGCGCAGGCGGUCGUUCAAGUCGCGUGUGAAAGCCCCCGGCUCAACUGGGGAGGGUCACGCGAUACUGAUCGACUCGAAGGCAGGAGAGGGAAGUGGAAUUCCCGGUGUAGUGGUGAAAUGCGUAGAUAUCGGGAGGAACACCAGUGGCGAAGGCGACUUCCUGGCCUGUUCUUGACGCUGAGGCGCGAAAGCUAGGGGAGCAAACGGGGA